rnacentral:misc_RNA from 1 species
AGCAACCAUAACCAUCUUCUCUCCCUGCAACUUCCAUCACAAUGAUAUUAACAUGAUCUUUAAAGUAACCGAAGAAAAAUAAACGGAACAUGCAGGGAUUGUUAAAGAAAGAUUUGGACACUAGCUUCAAAUGUUACUUUUUAUUGCAAUACCAUGAUCAUGAUUAUUACAGCUACUAACAAAUGGAACCUACUUCACCAAACUCUUGGUAAAAAUGAACUACUCAAUCACUUAACCCCAUCAACUUGGUUAUCAAAGCUGCAGAUGUUUCCCUUUUCUGCUCUACCCACUUUGACUUUUUAAAUGGGAAGUUUAGCCAUAGCUACUAAUCAAAACUUAAUAGAAGUUUCCACUCUGUAGCAAAGGCAAAAUGAA